rnacentral:rRNA from 1 species
UACGUAGGGACCAAGCGUUGUUCGGAUUUACUGGGCGUAAAGCGUGCGCAGGCGGUUCGCUAAGACAGAUGUGAAAUCCCCGGGCUUAACCUGGGAACUGCAUUUGUGACUGGCGGGCUAGAGUAUGGCAGAGGGGGGUAGAAUUCCACGUGUAGCAGUGAAAUGCGUAGAGAUGUGGAGGAAUACCGAUGGCGAAGGCAGCCCCCUGGGCCAAUACUGACGCUCAUGCACGAAAGCGUGGGGAGCAAACAGG